CAUACCUCCCCCGCCACCUAUAAUCUCUCUACUUCUUCUCGAUAACCCAUCAUCAAUCCUAACUAUAAGUACCAGACCUUUUUUUUUUCCUUUUCUUUUUAUUUUUGACCCCACUGGGCCCCACUCCGUUUCCUCUUCCCCCCUUUUCCCCUCUCCCUCUUCUUCUUUCCUUUUCUCUUCUCCUCCUCCCUCGACACUUCUCUUCACCCGUAUUUCUGUCCAAAUCUCCCUCCCUGAUUCCGCUCCACCAUCUUCUCCUCUUUCUCACCAAUUUCCUUCCUUCCGUUCUAGUUUUCCCAUCUCUUCCUCUCUCCUCCCAUGCCCCCCCCCUCUUUCCAUUUUCAGCAGGAAGCCCUAAUCUCUUCCUACCAAAAAGCUUUUAAACCCCAAAAGGGAGGCGCCUUGCAAAACAGAGAAUGCACCAUUGUCUAAGGAACACUUUAUCCUCUCAGCAUCCAGUUCUGUUUAAAUUGUAGCAAUCAUUCCCUUUCUCUUUCACUUCAUUGGGGCAACCACUGUCUCAACCAUCCACUCGGCUUCACAACAGGGCUGCAAUCAGCCCACCAUUGAUUCGACAUAUCAGAGCAUAGACGCGAAUCCGACAUGAAUGGGCUGACGAAACACACCUCUGUUCGCUCCAUUUGAUCUCGGAGAGAAAAGCUUCAACCGAUUGCAUAUUCUAUCAUCAUCGUACUUGCAAAGGGAGAAGAAACCUAAUGUUAUCUAAACAGGAAAGUACUAAAUUCCCUAUCUAUUGUGAUAUUUUUUUCAUGAUCUAUUCUGUCUAGUAGAAUGAUUUGAUUAGUUUAUCCUUGAAACAUCUGAGAAACACAUGCCUGAUUUGUUCCUUCCUUCAUAUUAGCAGAAUCAGACCCGAAUCAUUAAAGUCUUUGUUGUCUGAACUAGCUAUUUAACUUCAUCUAAUAAACUGCCAUUCAUUACUGAUUCAAUAUUAGCAUUUAAUUUUUCCUGUACAAAUCAUCUCAGUCUUACCUCAUUCUAUCACUUCUUGAUAAUUGUAGCAGUCGUAACUCUCGUACUACUUGGUUAAAGUCUAUCUUGUGAAUUCUGUUAGACACACAAUUGUUAUAUCUUUGUUUUAUUGACUAGUUUAUUUAAUCUUACUUGAUUUCCUCCUCAAGCACUUUAGUCAUUAUCAUCACUGCUCAUAUUCUUCUUGUUGUUAGCUUGUACUGCUGAAUCAUUGUGUUGUUGGAGCUAUUCUUUAUAGCACUAAACCAUUAUAUUUUACUGCUGAAUCAUUGUCUUGCUGGAAGUAUUCCUUAUAGCACUAAACCAUUAUAUUUUACUCAUAGCUUGUCUCUAGUUUCAUUCUUGUUUGUGACAUAUAUCUCUAUUGUGUUGGUAUUCUGGGUAUCUUCUGUACCCCAUUCCAUCAUUCAAGAUCAUUCUCUUUUGACUGAAAAUGAGUUGGGGAGCUCAUCAAUUUAGAGAAACACUUGGAAAUGGAGGUAUGAGGAUUACUAUAUUCUACAUCUAUCCUUAGAUGUCACUCCCCUGAAUAUUAAUUUAGGAACUUGAAUAUCUUUGAUUGCUCUGCUCCAAAUGAGAAGUCCAAGAGAAUCAAUAUGAUUGCAGAUAAUCUCGUUGGAUCCACUACAACAAGACCUCCCAAAGCAUCUCCCAACUCUUUAAAAACUGUUAGACACCAAGCAAGAAGAGGAACACCGAUAAUUCAAACCCACCAUCUACCAUGAUAGCAUAUGUACUCAUGGGCUCAUGCAUGGCCCAUGCACGAGUUCUGCUUGAAUGGACUCUAGGCCAACUCCUCUCAAGAGACCAAAUCGUAUGGACUCUUGUAGAUAACCUUUUUAUCUAGGAUAACCCUUCUUCACAUCUAGGAUAACUCUCUCCUAGUUUCUAUCCUAGAUAACUCUCAUCUAACCUAGAUAAUGUAAAACUCUUACUAAUCUUAUCUCUUGUAAACCUAGUGUAAUGGAUUCUUUCUCUAUAAAUAGAAUGGCAAUUGGCUCUACCUAGGUAAGGUCAGCCAAAUUAUUUUUUAUCAGUCUCAUUUAUUAUUCUUUCUCAGUUAUUAUUUGUCGUUCUUUUUAUUGUUAGUAUCUUUUAUUUCUUGCUGUUCUAACUUGGUAUCAGAGCUAUGUCAACCAAAACCGGAACACACGGCAGCAGUCCAACUCCCUCCAACAAUGGUCAUUUGUCAACGACUAGUUCGCUCCCUUCAAUCCAAAACGUGACUCACUAUUUACCUGUCAAACUGGGCAACAACAACUACCUAUUAUGGAAUGCCCAAUUCCUUCUUAUUCCGUGGCAUCAUAAUCUCAUGGAUUUUGUUGAAGGGAAGAAGAAGCCCUGCCUGAAGUUAUUCCAAAUCUAGACGGAGUAAUGGCUCAAGUGUUGCAACGACAACUGCAAAGUUUCAGAAAGGUAGAAUAACUACAAUUGCAAUGACAAUUGCAACGACACACGGAAAGAUGCGCAUCUUACAAAAGUGCUUUUAGCAAGAAAUUAAGUCAGCAAAAGUGCUAAUGCUUUGCAAACUCACGUUUACAAAGCAAUCAUGGAAGAGAAGUCGAAGCAAAGAAGCUCCCAUUCACAUUUCUUUCUUCAUAGUUGUGGUGACCUCAUUCCGAACAAUCUUGAGCAGAGGUGGGCAUUUUCUUCAUAGCUGUGGUGACCUCUAUCUACAAUUGAUGAACCUGUUCUCAAAUCAGAAUUAGUCAUCCACAUUCUUCCUGGGCUAGGGAGUGAGUAUGAAUCUGUAGUUACUCACCAGCCGACAUGACACAGCUGAUCUUGGCAUUGCGGAUAUUCCUUAAUCAAGAGAGUUGGCUUGAAGAACAGUCCCACGUCUCUGAUCCUUAGAAUGCCAACCUUGCCGGUAUUACUUCCAAAUAUAAAGGUAACUUUCAAAAAUCUCCACAACAAUUUUCUCCGACAUCCAAUAAUAAUAGAGGUAGGAAGGCUAAGACAAUUUUUUAUAUUGAAUUUUCUCUUAAUUAUUCAGUAAAGAAUUAUUCUUCCUAGUA